rnacentral:snRNA from 1 species
CAUAGUUCAUUAGAGAAAGAGAC